AGAGUUUGAUCCUGGCUCAGAUUGAACGCUGGCGGCAUGCCUUACACAUGCAAGUCGAACGGCAGCGCGGGGCAACCUGGCGGCGAGUGGCGAACGGGUGAGUAAUAUAUCGGAACGUACCCUGGAGUGGGGGAUAACGUAGCGAAAGUUACGCUAAUACCGCAUACGAUCUAAGGAUGAAAGUGGGGGAUCGCAAGACCUCAUGCUCCUGGAGCGGCCGAUAUCUGAUUAGCUAGUUGGUGGGGUAAAGGCCUACCAAGGCAUCGAUCAGUAGCUGGUCUGAGAGGACGACCAGCCACACUGGAACUGAGACACGGUCCAGACUCCUACGGGAGGCAGCAGUGGGGAAUUUUGGACAAUGGGCGAAAGCCUGAUCCAGCAAUGCCGCGUGAGUGAAGAAGGCCUUCGGGUUGUAAAGCUCUUUUGUCAGGGAAGAAACGGUGAGGGCUAAUAUCCCUUGCUAAUGACGGUACCUGAAGAAUAAGCACCGGCUAACUACGUGCCAGCAGCCGCGGUAAUACGUAGGGUGCAAGCGUUAAUCGGAAUUACUGGGCGUAAAGCGUGCGCAGGCGGUUUUGUAAGUCUGUCGUGAAAUCCCCGGGCUCAACCUGGGAAUUGCGAUGGAGACUGCAAGGCUAGAAUCUGGCAGAGGGGGGUAGAAUUCCACGUGUAGCAGUGAAAUGCGUAGAGAUGUGGAGGAACACCGAUGGCGAAGGCAGCCCCCUGGGUCAAGAUUGACGCUCAUGCACGAAAGCGUGGGGAGCAAACAGGAUUAGAUACCCUGGUAGUCCACGCCCUAAACGAUGUCUACUAGUUGUCGGGUUUUAAUUAACUUGGUAACGCAGCUAACGCGUGAAGUAGACCGCCUGGGGAGUACGGUCGCAAGAUUAAAACUCAAAGGAAUUGACGG
rnacentral:rRNA from 1 species